AUGUUUACUGUAGGAAUGGACGUGGACACACGAGCAUACUUUACAUCAGCCACUAUAAUCAUCGCCAUUCCUACUGGGGUAAAAGUAUUUAGCUGACUGGCUACUCUUCACGGAGGUAAUAUCAAAUGGUCCCCCGCUAUGUUAUGAGCCUUAGGCUUUAUUUUCCUAUUUACCGUAGGGGGCUUAACGGGAAUUGUACUAGCAAACUCCUCAUUAGAUAUCGUUCUUCACGAUACAUAUUACGUAGUAGCUCACUUCCACUAUGUCUUGUCAAUAGGAGCAGUAUUCGUUAUCAUAGGAGGCUUUGUUCAUUGAUUUCCCUUAUUCUCAGGAUAUACUCUCGACAAUACUUGGGCAAAAAUUCAUUUCACAAUUAUGUUCGUGGGUGUCAACAUAACAUUCUUCCCUCAACACUUUCUAGGCCUAUCUGGAAUGCCACGACGUUACUCUGACUACCCAGAUGCAUAUACAACUUGAAAUACGAUCUCCUCAAUGGGUUCUUUUAUCUCACUAACAGCAGUUAUGUUAAUAGUCUUCAUAGUGUGAGAAGCUUUCGCGUCUAAACGAGAAGUGGCCAUAGUAGAGUUAACCACAACUAAUCUUGAGUGAUUACACGGAUGUCCCCCUCCAUACCACACAUUUGAAGAACCAACUUAUGUAUUAUUAAAAUAAGAAAGGAAGGAAUCGAACCCUCUUAAACUGGUUUCAAGCCAAUACCAUAACCACUAUGUCUUUCUCAAUCAAGAAGUAUUAGUAAAACAAUUACAUAACUUUGUCGAAGUUAAAUUAUAGGCUUGAAUCCUAUAUACUUCUAUGGCAUAUCCCUUCCAACUAGGUUUUCAAGAUGCUACAUCUCCUAUUAUAGAGGAACUCUUACAUUUCCACGAUCACACAUUAAUAAUUGUAUUCCUAAUUAGCUCCUUAGUCCUUUACAUUAUCUCAUUGAUAUUAACAACCAAGCUCACGCACACAAGCACAAUAGAUGCCCAAGAAGUAGAAACCAUCUGAACUAUCUUACCUGCCAUUAUCCUUAUUCUUAUUGCCCUGCCUUCCUUACGAAUUCUUUAUAUAAUAGACGAAAUCAACAACCCCUCCCUCACAGUAAAAACCAUAGGACACCAAUGGUACUGAAGCUACGAGUACACCGAUUAUGAGGACUUGAACUUUGACUCUUACAUAAUCCCCACUCAAGAACUAAAACCAGGAGAACUCCGGUUACUAGAAGUCGACAAUCGAGUGGUUCUGCCAAUAGAAAUAACUAUUCGCAUGCUAAUUUCAUCAGAAGACGUACUACACUCAUGAGCCAUCCCAUCCCUAGGUCUAAAAACUGAUGCCAUCCCAGGCCGACUAAAUCAAACAACCCUGAUAGGAACACGACCUGGCUUAUAUUACGGUCAAUGCUCAGAGAUCUGCGGCUCAAAUCAUAGCUUCAUGCCCAUUGUUCUUGAAUUAGUCCCACUGACAUACUUUGAAAAAUGAUCUGCAUCUAUACUUUAAAUUCAUUAAGAAGCUAAGUCAAGCGUUAACCUUUUAAGUUAAAGACUGGGAGUUUAAAUCUCUCCUUAAUGACAUGCCACAGCUAGAUACAUCAACCUGAUUUACUACUAUUAUAUCAAUAAUUAUAACACUAUUUAUUGUAUUCCAACUAAAGAUCUCAAAGUACUUAUAUCCAUCAAAUCCAGAACUUAAGUCCACAACUACACUAAAACAGCUCAACCCCUGAGAAAAAAAAUGAACGAAAAUCUAUUCGCCUCUUUCACUAUCCCAACAAUAAUAGGACUACCUAUUAUUAUCUUAAUUAUUAUAUUCCCAAGUAUUCUAUUUCCUUCACCCAAUCGACUAAUUAAUAAUCGCCUAGUCUCACUGCAACAAUGAUUGGUACAACUAAUAUCAAAACAAAUACUGGCCAUCCAUAAUCACAAAGGACAAACCUGAGCCCUAAUACUAAUAUCCCUUAUUUUAUUUAUUGGGUCAACAAAUUUACUAGGCUUACUACCCCACUCGUUCACUCCAACUACCCAAUUGUCAAUAAACUUAGGAAUAGCCAUCCCACUAUGGGCUGGCGCUGUAAUUACUGGGUUUCGCCACAAAACUAAAGCAUCUCUGGCCCAUUUCUUACCACAAGGAACACCUAUUCCCCUAAUCCCUAUGCUUGUAGUCAUCGAGACUAUUAGUCUCUUCAUCCAACCCAUAGCCUUGGCCGUACGACUUACAGCCAACAUCACCGCAGGCCACUUACUAAUACAUUUAAUUGGAGGAGCCGCUCUGGCCCUAGCAAACAUCAGCACCUCCAUUGCUUUAAUUACUUUUAUUAUCCUUAUCCUACUGACGAUCCUUGAAUUUGCCGUAGCUCUAAUCCAAGCCUAUGUCUUUACCCUACUAGUAAGCCUCUAUCUACAUGAUAACACUUAAUGACCCACCAAACCCAUGCAUACCAUAUGGUCAACCCCAGUCCAUGACCACUUACAGGGGCUCUCUCAGCCCUCCUAAUAACCUCAGGCCUAGCUAUCUGAUUCCAUUACAAUUCAACACUACUACUAGCCCUCGGAAUAACUACCAACUUAUUGACUAUAUAUCAAUGAUGACGAGACAUCAUCCGAGAAAGCACAUUCCAAGGCCACCAUACUCCCAUCGUUCAAAAAGGUCUUCGAUAUGGGAUAAUCCUUUUUAUUGUCUCAGAAGUAUUCUUUUUUGCAGGCUUCUUCUGGGCUUUUUACCACUCAAGCCUAGCCCCAACCCCUGAGUUGGGAGGAUGCUGGCCACCAACAGGCAUUACUCCCUUAAAUCCUCUGGAAGUUCCACUACUUAAUACCUCCGUACUUCUAGCCUCCGGAGUAUCAAUUACCUGAGCCCACCACAGUUUAAUGGAAGGAAACCGAAAACAUAUACUCCAGGCAUUAUUUAUUACAAUCUCUCUAGGAAUUUAUUUUACACUCCUACAAGCCUCCGAAUAUUAUGAAACAUCAUUUACUAUUUCAGACGGAGUUUACGGGUCCACCUUCUUCAUAGCCACAGGAUUCCACGGACUACAUGUAAUUAUCGGCUCUACUUUCCUAAUCGUAUGCUUCUUACGCCAACUAAAAUAUCACUUUACAUCUAAUCAUCAUUUCGGAUUUGAAGCUGCUGCUUGAUAUUGACAUUUCGUAGACGUAGUUUGACUAUUCCUAUACGUUUCCAUCUAUUGAUGAGGAUCUU